rnacentral:rRNA from 1 species
GACGAACGCUGGCGGCGUGCUUAACACAUGCAAGUCGAACGAUGAAGCCGGAGCUUGCUCUGGUGAAUUAGUGGCGAACGGGUGAGUAACACGUGAGUAACCUGCCCUUGACUCUGGGAUAACUGCUAGAAAUGGUAGCUAAUACCGGAUACGACCCUCGGAGGCAUCUCCAGGGGGUGGAACGAAUGUCGGUCAAGGAUGGAAUCGCGGCCUAUCAGCUAGUUGGUGAGGUAACGGCUCACCAAGGCGACGACGGGUAGCCGGCCUGAGAGGGUGACCGGCCACACUGGGACUGAGACACGGCCCAGACUCCUACGGGAGGCAGCAGUGGGGAAUAUUGCACAAUGGGCGCAAGCCUGAUGCAGCAACGCCGCGUGAGGGACGACUGCCUUCGGGUUGUAAACCUCUUUUAGUAGGGAAGAAGCGAAAGUGACGGUACCUGCAGAAAAAGCACCGGCUAACUACGUGCCAGCAGCCGCGGUAA